CGGAGGAUCCAAGCGGUUAUCCGGAUUUAUUGGGUUUAAAGGGUGCGUAGGCGGAUUGAUAAGUCAGUGGUGAAAGCCUGCAGCUUAACUGCAGAACUGCCAUUGAUACUGUCAGUCUUGAGUAUAUUUGAAGUGGGCGGAAUGUGCAGUGUAGCGGUGAAAUGCUUAGAUAUUGCACAGAACACCAAUUGCGAAGGCAGCUCACUAAACUAUAACUGACGCUGAGGCACGAAAGUAUGGGGAUCAAACAGGAUUAGAUACCCUGGUAGUCCAUACAGUAAACGUUGAUUACUCGAUGUGUGCGAUAAACUGUACGCGUCUAAGCGAAAGCAAUAAGUAAUCCACCUGGGGAGUACGCUCGCAAGAGUG
rnacentral:rRNA from 1 species